CGCCUUUUGAAUUUUUAACAUAAAAGGUCCUGCCUGCCCAGUGACUCUGUUCAACGGCCGCGGUAUUAUGACCGUGCAAAGGUAGCGUAAUCACUUGUCUUUUAAAUAAAGACCAGUAUGAACGGCAAAACGAGGGCCUAACUGUCUCACUAGAUCAGUCAGUGAAAUUAAUUUUCCAGUGCAGAAGCUGGAAUAUCUGUAUAAGACGAGAAGACCCUGUGGAGCUUUAAACCUAGACUAAUAUACAUUAUACUAUAGCACCAGGUUUUAGGUUGGGGCGACCAUAAGAAAAACAAACUCUUAAGACAUUAACAAGAAGGACACUUCAAACAAAUAGUAAUAUUAAUAUAUUGACCCAAUAUUUGAUCAACGAACCAAGUUACCCCAGGGAUAACAGCGCAAUCCACUCACAGAGCCCAUAUCGACGAGCGGGUUUACGACCUCGAUGUUGGAUCAGGACUACCUAAUGGUGCAACAACUAUUAAAGGUUCGUUUGUUCAACGAUUAAAGUCCU
rnacentral:rRNA from 1 species